CCUGCAAGACAGUAUAUGAACAGUGCACAACCCCUGCUCUUGUAUGAAAAAAGUGAAUAAACAGAAGGCUAUCUGUGAGAUCUGUUACUAUCAGAAGUCAGAAGAUCUCAUUUUCUUCAAGACUGCAUUUGUAUAUCUUGUCUGAGAGAUUGAUGGGGGUGGCCUUAAGGCCAUGAUUCAUUGUGGGUGGGUGACUCUCACUAUGAGGGAUACUAGAUUGGUUGUGGAAAUCACUCAAG
rnacentral:sRNA from 2 species